GAGGGACGGGUCAACGGCGCAGACAAGGGGACAGCACUCAGGCCUUCAACAGGAAGGACGUUCUGACAUUUGCCACAAUGUGACGGACUUGAGGACCCGAGGCUGCGUGCCACGAGCCGGUCACCAGACGACAAAUCCUGUGUGAUCCACGUACCUGAGGGACGCGGAGGAGUCAACGCAGAGACAGGAAACACGUUCAGCUCAAUGGUCCACGAAAUUCUUCACAGACGCAUCGCGCCGCAACCACACCACGCCACGCCGCGACCACGGAGACCUCCCGGUAACGACGCACCAGAUCGGCGGUUCUCGCGUUGGUCAUCUCGAGGCUGGUUAAACUCGAGGGCAGUUUACUGCUGGGAGAACAGUGAGUUGAAGCUAAGAAUUGUUAAAUAAUUUGAGUCCGUAAAGCAGUAGAACACGGUCUGAAAUGCCUAAGAGGAGAAACGAAUGCAUCCGAUUACCGGGGAACUUAGAGCAGUAACGGACGUUCACUUGAAUAAAGAGCCAAUCCCCGGCCACCGGGGUAAGGAAAGGCCAGCGGCGCCUGCGGGUCCUGAGCUCCAGCAGGAAGAGCCCCUGGGGGUGGCCAGGAUCGGCACCUGCGCGGGAACACGGCCGUAUCAGAAGUAAAUCGUGCGGCACCGCACGGGCCCGAAGAUUCCGCCUCGCCCUCCCCAAAACGUCUGUGAGCAUCGCACCUGGGUCCCCGGGACCGCGGAGCCCAGGCUGGUUGCAGAGCUGCUCCAGCACUUGGGGCUGAGAUGAGGGAGUCAAGCCCACCCUCAUGAAAAUCAGGAGCGAAAGGCUGCUUUCCUGGCAAAAUAGGGAUUGCCAGACUCAGCCGUCGAAGUACACCGAAGUUCGGCUUCCACGGGAGAAGCUCAGAGGGGGGUGAGGACCAGCCCGCCUGGACCGCGUGUAACUCUUGAAGAGCUGUUUCCAUCCUGUGUAAAUGCGGCCAUAGAGAGAGACGGGAAGCCUCCUCUAAUUUAGGAAAACGUGACCCCAUGAAGACAGCCCAGGGGAGGGAUGCAUGCCUGCAGACAUGAGCUUUCCCGACUCAGCGGUCCCCGCGCCGUGUCCGGUCUCCGCACACUGCCACCAAACCACGUCCACGCCAGCAGUGCGAGCGCGGCUUGGGAGCAGGACGCCACCAGCGUCAAGAAGGAGCACAGGCAGGAGGAAGGGUGCAGAGACCCCGAGAUGCAGGCCCUGAGACGGGGGGCCUGAGCCCGGGGUCAGCAGAGGUGGGCGUGGCGGCAGGAGCGUGGGGACCAGCGCCAAGGGGAUCAGAAGGGCACGGUGAGGCAGAAAGUCAGGCCGAUCCCAGGGACGCCACCCUGGACCCCACUGGCAUCCCUCCUCUGCUCCAGGCCACACUCCCGAGGAAGGGAGCCGGCGGGCCUUCCUGGGCUCAGAGCCCACCCUGGGCAGAGACAGGGCCAGCUGCCCCAUGGCCGGGGCCAGGAGUUCAGGCAGGGGACGGGCAGUUCAGAGAUGACCCCUCUGUCCCGUCCUCUCCGGCCCCUCCAAGGCGGCGGGCAAACCGG